ACAAAAGGCCUAUUUCUCUCAAAUAUUGUUCACAAAUCUGUCUAAAUCUGUGUUAGUGAGAACUUCUCCUUUGCCUAGAUAAAUCCAGAUUUAGACAGGUUUGUGAAAAAUAUUUGAUAGACAUAGGCCUUUUGU